UCUAAUUAGAUUCUAUAUUGUUUCUGGAAAAAUGUUCUACUUUCAUGCUCAUCAAAGUUCUACUUUAAACUAUUUUUUUUGUCUUUGUAAAUGAUAAUCAUUCAGUGUCCAUUUUGUCUAGAAGUUAAAAAAUGUUUGAAAACUUCAUGUCCUUUCCUGAUGAGAGUGAGAGAAGGUUAGAAAGGGGUAGUCCAUCUUCAUUUGAAAUACUCAAGAAAGUACGCAAAAAUAUUUUUUUUCUGGAUAAAGAUUAUUGACUUGUAAAAUUUGCUCAAAAUUAAAAUUUUAAGGAAAAAAUGGAUAGUUAAUAUUUUUGGCUUCUUGGAUAGCUUUUUUUGUAAGAGCUGGUAAUGAUGAUCGCUAUACUUCUUAUUUUGCAUGGUCUUGCCCCGUGCUUUCUCUUUAUUUUGCUUUGCUUGGAAAGGAACAAAUUCCUAAGCAGGUGUGCUGGGAUAUGAAUUGAUGGAUGAGGUGGUAUACCAUCUUCCCAUUUGAGAUGGG